AGUGAACGCUGGCGGCAGGCCUAACACAUGCAAGUCGAACGGCAGCACAGUAAGAGCUUGCUCUUACGGGUGGCGAGUGACGGACGGGUGAGGCAUACAUCGGAAUCUACUUUUUCGUGGGUGAUAACGUAGGGAAACUUACGCUAAUACCUCAUACGACCUACGGGUUAAAUCAGGAGAUCUUCGGACCUUUCGCGAUUGAAUGAGCCGAUGUCGGAUUAGCUUGUUGGCGGGGUAAAGGACCACCAAGGCGACGAUCCGUAGCUGGUCUGAGAGGAUGAUCAGCCACACUGGAACUUGGACACGGUCCAGACUCCUACGGGAGGCAGCAGUGGGGAAUAUUGGACAAUGGGCGCAAGCCUGAUCCAGCCAUACCGCGUGGGUGAAGAAGGCCUUCGGGUUGUAAAGCCCUUUUGUUGGGAAAGAAAAGCAGCAGGUUAAUACCCCGCUGUUCUGACGGUACCCAAAUAAUAAGCACCGGCUAACUUCGUG
rnacentral:rRNA from 1 species